UUUGAGUGAUCAAGAUCAGUUUUUGUCUUCCUUAAUUAUUGUUAAUACGCAAUCUGAUCUAUACCCACGGCUUUUUAUGAUUAGAUCUAUCAUUAUCAGUAAAAAAACUGUCGAAUAGAUUAACGUAUAUGCGUAAAAAGGUAAAAUGUCGUAAAAAAGAGACUUAAUUCUCUCGCGGACUUAACAUCUGUUGUUAGUAUAUUGUUUUGAACAGCAUGGCUCCCAGCCGCGCGAUUAAACGAUAAGAUCUUGCAGGGAACUGCAGCCUACCGAGCGCCCCCUAUCAGCCGACAACAGAACAAGAUUAAUAGGAAACGAAAUUUUUUGGCCAUUUCAGAAAAAGAUAACUUACCAUACAAACAGUUUUCUUUCUUUUGGAUAUAACUAAUGUCAGAAACAAACUAACUUACAACAGAUUUUGUCAUUGCAGCUGCAAAAUUAGGAACUUUAUACAAUACUAUAGUAGCUAGGAAUAACAUUUCGUUUGCAUUAAUUCUAUGCAUAGGAAAAAGGCGGUUAUUUUGGAAGAUGAAAACUUGUGGUGUUACAAAAAAAUAUGGAUAAAAAACAAUAUCAAGGCAUCUAGACUACUGAUAGAUGGUAUACUGAUAGACGUUAUCUCGCAGAAAACUGAAAAGAGCUAACUGAAAAGAGCAGCAAAGAAAGGACAGAACGUAAAAAUCAGCAACUCUGAUGAGAUGGUAAAAAGCAGAUGAACGGGAGAUAAUAAAAUGCAGAUGGACGGCUUCUUUGAUCGUGAAGAGUUUGCUAUUAGUUAUGGGACGAGAGCAUUCCAAGGAAAUGACAUAUAUGAGUCUUUGAAGCAGUAUGCCAUUCAUUGCCUCAGUAUAGAGAUUCAACAUUUAAUGAUUAUAGGAAUAAAAAAAGGUUGUAGCUCCAGACAGACACUGAAAAGGAAGGCAAAGAUGUUUUCAGACUGACAUAAAGCCCUAGUUUCUAAAACUAGAAAAUAUAUUCCUAACAGCAAGCACGAAUAUUUCCAGAAUUAUUCCCCUUUACUUGUUUACCUGACAUUACCUGUUUUAUUUGCAGGGAUAUUUAUGAAAUGAGCUAUGCACGUACAUUAUGAGUUUUCAAUGUUAUGAUGUGGUGGCAUAGAUUUUUUUCACAAAUUUUAAUCUUG